rnacentral:lncRNA from 1 species
UUGAGAGAGGGUGGUUUGUGGGGGAAGAUGCGACAUAAAAACGGAGACCAAGAUGACUAGUACCUUUGAGAUAACACAAGAUGUGUUUUACUGCAACCCAAUGAGAUUCGAGAAGAUUAGCCUUAAAUUGACACACUUUGUUGACAUCAAAACACAACUCAAGAUGUGUAAGGGUAGCAUACUGAAGUGCACAGAUAGCGUUUCAGCUAGUGUACUGAAUCGUUGCAAGUAAUCAUAAAAACGGUAAUAUCCAGUGUCGAACUUAAGAAUUACGUUUUACUAUCGAAUUAUAUUUAAUUACCAAAGUUGAACAAAAAAUUCCCAAAUUGAUUGAAAUAAUAUUUAAAAUUAACAACAGUAAUAAAAUUUAUUCUUUAUAAUAAGAAAAAUAUCAGAAAUGAGUUUCACUUCGAAUUCAACUUUGGUGUCUAAUUUGGUCCUAGUUACUGAAUUCUUUUAUUGAAUUAUUACAUAAUUCUCUUUAUUAUUCUUUCUCUAAUGUCUUAGUGACAGAAUCUUUAAUUCCAAAGUAACCUCUAAUUCCUUAGUGGAUUUAAAAUUAGAAUUAAGCCUUACCGUACAAGAAUUCUCUUGUUAAACUAUUACUUUUGCAUCUAAUUUAAUUGGUUUCAAGACCCACAUCUAUCCCUAGACUAUAAAUUCAUGAAUUCCUCAUCUCAAGUAUUCGUAAAGUCCACUUCCGUUUCAAAAUACGAAUCAUAAAGCGUUUUAAUGUUGAUCAAACAAUAAAAAGCAUUAAGCACAGAGAUAGGAAAAAUAAUUCAAUAAACUCAUUCAUAUAACUAGAAAUCAAAUUAGAAAAAUAAGGGUUUCAUCUUAUUACGCUAAUCCCUAACAAAUAGGGUUUAAAUAUUCAUGGUAGAGAUAUAAAAGAUAGGGAUUAAAGAAAAAUUACAAGAAGGAUUCAUGAAUGAUUCUUGAUAAAACUCCUCCAAUGAUGUUAAGAGCAACCGUCUCUGAGUUUCUCUGCUAGGGUAAAGAAGGGCUUGUUUGACUGCUUUGGGUUUAGAAUGGGUAAGAAGCAAAUUAGGUUGUUUUCAAGGUUGUUCAAAAUCGGACUUGACAUGAGUUUUCAUGGGAUGAUCAUUGACAAGUUUAGUAAGAAAUGGUUGAGCAUAAGGUGGAAUAGGAGAGAAAUUAGUGGGAGAUGAAGAUUCAGGAGAAAAGGUAGACGACGAGGGAAGUACAAGACUAGUGUUAGGGGAAGGGGAUCUAAAUGGGAAGAAGGAAUGUUGUGGGAUAUGGAAGGUACAUGAUCAAAAGUGGAAUACUGAGAAGAUGGUUCAUAUAUAAGGGCUGAGAAGGAAAUUGAUGUUGAGGGACCAUAUUUUUGAGGAAAAUUUUCCAGAAGGAAUGAAGAGAGCAAAUAGGUGAAGAGAUGAGCUAAUGUAACACUAGAAGAGGGUGAAGAAGAAACACUAGUGGUGGGAAAAAGGGUUGGAUAAGGAAAUUUGGUUUCAUUAAACAAAAUAUCAUUGGAAAUGCAUAACCUACCGAUAUGGGACAAUCACCUAUUGCCUUUAUGAGAAGGAGAGUACCCCAAGAAUAAAC